GACGAACGCUGGCGGCGUGCUUAACACAUGCAAGUCGAACGGAAAGGCCCUGCUUUUGUGGGGUGCUCGAGUGGCGAACGGGUGAGUAACACGUGAGUAACCUGCCCUUGACUUUGGGAUAACUUCAGGAAACUGGGGCUAAUACAGGAUAGGAGCUCCUGCUGCAUGGUGGGGGUUGGAAAGUUUCGGCGGUUGGGGAUGGAUUAGCGGCUUAUCAGCUUGUUGGUGGGGUAGUGGCUUACCAAGGUUUUGACGGGUAGCCGGCCUGAGAGGGUGACCGGCCACAAUGGGACUAAGGUACGGCCCAGACUCCUACGGGAGGCAGCAGUGGGGAAUAUUGCACAAUGGGCGGAAGCCUGAUGCAGCAACGCCGCGUUCGGGAUGACGGCCUUCGGGUUGUAAACCGCUUUCGCCUGUGACGAAGCGUGAGUGACGGUAAUGGGUAAAGAAGCACCGGCUAACUACGUG
rnacentral:rRNA from 1 species